rnacentral:rRNA from 1 species
UACGUAGGGUGCAAUCGUUGUCCGGAAUUAUUGGGCGUAAAGAGCUUGUAGGCGGUUUGUCGCGUCUGCUGUGAAAUUUCGGGGCUCAACCCCGAACUUGCAGUGGGUACGGGCAGACUAGAGUGUGGUAGGGGAGACUGGAAUUCCUGGUGUAGCGGUGAAAUGCGUAGAUAUCGUAAGGAAGACCAGUGGCGAAGGCGGGUCUCUGGACCGGCAUUGACGCUGAGGCGCGAAAGCGUGGGGAGCAACGGG